UCGAUUCCCUUAGUAGCGGCGAGCGAAACGGGAAGAGCCCAAACCAACAAGCUUGCUUGUUGGGGUUGUAGGACACUCUAUACGGAGUUACAAAGGACGACAUUAGACGAAUCAUCUGGAAAGAUGAAUCAAAGAAGGUAAUAAUCCUGUAGUCGAAAAUGUUGUCUCUCUUGAGUGGAUCCUGAGUACGACGGAGCACGUGAAAUUCCGUCGGAAUCUGGGAGGACCAUCUCCUAAGGCUAAAUACUCUCUAGUGACCGAUAGUGAACCAGUACCGUGAGGGAAAGGUGAAAAGCACCCCGGAAGGGGAGUGAAAUAGAACCUGAAACCGUGUGCUUACAAGUAGUCAGAGCCCGUUAAUGGGUGAUGGCGUGCCUUUUGUAGAAUGAACCGGCGAGUUACGAUUUGAUGCAAGGUUAAGCAGUAAAUGUGGAGCCGUAGCGAAAGCGAGUCUGAAUAGGGCGUUUAGUAUUUGGUCGUAGACCCGAAACCAGGUGAUCUACCCUUGGUCAGGUUGAAGUUCAGGUAACACUGAAUGGAGGACCGAACCGACUUACGUUGAAAAGUGAGCGGAUGAACUGAGGGUAGCGGAGAAAUUCCAAUCGAACCUGGAGAUAGCUGGUUCUCUCCGAAAUAGCUUUAGGGCUAGCCUCAAGUGAUGAUUAUUGGAGGUAGAGCACUGUUUGGACGAGGGGCCCCUCUCGGGUUACCGAAUUCAGACAAACUCCGAAUGCCAAUUAAUUUAACUUGGGAGUCAGAACAUGGGUGAUAAGGUCCGUGUUCGAAAGGGAAACAGCCCAGACCACCAGCUAAGGUCCCAAAAUAUAUGUUAAGUGGAAAAGGAUGUGGCGUUGCCCAGACAACUAGGAUGUUGGCUUAGAAGCAGCCAUCAUUUAAAGAGUGCGUAAUAGCUCACUAGUCGAGUGACACUGCGCCGAAAAUGUACCGGGGCUAAACAUAUUACCGAAGCUGUGGAUUGUCCUUUGGACAAUGGUAGGAGAGCGUUCUAAGGGCGUUGAAGCAUGAUCGUAAGGACAUGUGGAGCGCUUAGAAGUGAGAAUGCCGGUGUGAGUAGCGAAAGACGGGUGAGAAUCCCGUCCACCGAUUGACUAAGGUUUCCAGAGGAAGGCUCGUCCGCUCUGGGUUAGUCGGGUCCUAAGCUGAGGCCGACAGGCGUAGGCGAUGGAUAACAGGUUGAUAUUCCUGUACCACCUAUAAUCGUUUUAAUCGAUGGGGGGACGCAGUAGGAUAGGCGAAGCGUGCGAUUGGAUUGCACGUCUAAGCAGUAAGGCUGAGUAUUAGGCAAAUCCGGUACUCGUUAAGGCUGAGCUGUGAUGGGGAGAAGACAUUGUGUCUUCGAGUCGUUGAUUUCACACUGCCGAGAAAAGCCUCUAGAUAGAAAAUAGGUGCCCGUACCGCAAACCGACACAGGUAGUCAAGAUGAGAAUUCUAAGGUGAGCGAGCGAACUCUCGUUAAGGAACUCGGCAAAAUGACCCCGUAACUUCGGGAGAAGGGGUGCUCUUUAGGGUUAACGCCCAGAAGAGCCGCAGUGA
rnacentral:rRNA from 1 species